UCUGUGGCGGCUGUGUGACGGGAUGCAACGCGCGCGCGCACACACACGCACAAAUACGCGCGCGCACACAAACGACAGAACCUCCACAUACGCAUAAAAGAUGUCGCGGGUCUGUGCGCCACCGCAGUGCACUGUUGUAUAGAAUCCCGCAAACGCAAUGUGCAGCCGCUUUCAUUUCACCGCGGCCGUGGCGCAAACAAAGCUGGACUUCAACCUUCCCGUCGCGUCCUAUUAACAGCGCACACCCAACCGCGUCCUGUGGGGCCCGACAUUGACUGUCCAGCUCCGGGGCUUCUGCAUUCCGCAGCACAGCGGCCGCUCCGUGGGGGCGUCUCUGCCCUGCGCGAUUUCAGCAGCGAUGUGGAUCCGCGGAGUGAAGCGGGCCGAACAAUGCCGUCCGUCCUCCCCGCUGGGUUCGGUCUCAGCCGAUGCGGGAGCCCAGGCCCCGCGGACGGUGAUGUCCGCACGGAUUCGGUGCCGGCAGAGACGGGCUUCAGCUUCGUCGCGGCUUCGCGUGUAAAAACCUGACCGACUAUUCGUCGAUGUCCUGGAUAUUACACAUUUCUUCACAUCGAGCGCACUCGUCCUGAUUUGCGUGUGACUUUGAUGCCCCGAUCCUCAUAGGCUGAAGCGAUGACGUCAUGACGCGGACCCGUCUCCCAGAUCAAACGCUGAAUACUGCCCCCAUUAACGCGUCUGGCAGGUCGGGUUCAUAGAACGUCUUCGCUCUAUGUCGUCUCAUUCUUCGUCUGAACAGCACCGACGGCCGCGUGAUGCGCUGACCGCGGUCCUGAAAUCGGAUCCGCGGUGGAUCAGCACAGAAGUGACUCUUCUCCUCGGAAACAUUCCCCCGGUCGCCGUCUGUGGAUUUCAUUCAGACCCAAUAGUGAGAGAGUUGUGGUUUCUCCUGCUGCGGUCUCACUGAUUUUGUGCAAAACAACAGUAAUGUGAGGGAAGAUGGCGUCCUUAAAGGGGACCCCCACUGAUGUCACGCAUCAGAGGUCAACACGACGGGCAUCUCCAAAGAUGAGGAAAAUCCCAAGACCUGUGGCGUUUACCAGUGUGAUGAGUGAGAACACCUUUGCCCAGGACAGGGUGACCUCGAUCAGGUACCCAGACGAGGAGACCAGCACCACUCCUGCACAGCGGCGGCGGACGUCAGGCAUUGGCAUCAGUGGCAGUAGUAAGAGUGGGGAAUUUACAUUAGAUACAGUUGUAAAAAUUUGCCAUUUCAGACACAGAAAUUUUUUAACUCAUUGUCUCUGUAAUACACACCCAUAAGAGCACCCAGCAUAUUCAUGAAACCUGUUAGAGAAAGACAAUAUUAAUCAAUAAACCUGAAUAAACAUAA